rnacentral:rRNA from 1 species
AUUGAACGCUGGCGGCAGGCUUAACACAUGCAAGUCGAACGAUGAAACUCUAGCUUGCUAGAGAAGAUUAGUGGCGGACGGGUGAGUAACAUUUAGGAAUCUGCCUAGUAGUGGGGGAUAGCUCGGGGAAACUCGAAUUAAUACCGCAUACGACCUACGGGUGAAAGGGGGCGCAAGCUCUUGCUAUUAGAUGAGCCUAAAUCAGAUUAGCUAGUUGGUGGGGUAAAGGCCCACCAAGGCGACGAUCUGUAACUGGUCUGAGAGGAUGAUCAGUCACACCGGAACUGAGACACGGUCCGGACUCCUACGGGAGGCAGCAGUGGGGAAUAUUGGACAAUGGGGGCAACCCUGAUCCAGCCAUGCCGCGUGUGUGAAGAAGGCCUUUUGGUUGUAAAGCACUUUAAGCAGGGAGGAGAGGCUAAUGGUUAAUACCCAUUAGAUUAGACGUUACCUGCAGAAUAAGCACCGGCUAACUCUGUGCCAGCAGCCGCGGUAAUACAGAGGGUGCGAGCGUUAAUCGGAAUUACUGGGCGUAAAGCGAGUGUAGGUGGCUCAUUAAGUCACAUGUGAAAUCCCCGGGCUUAACCUGGGAACUGCAUGUGAUACUGGUGGUGCUAGAAUAUGUGAGAGGGAAGUAGAAUUCCAGGUGUAGCGGUGAAAUGCGUAGAGAUCUGGAGGAAUACCGAUGGCGAAGGCAGCUUCCUGGCAUAAUAUUGACACUGAGAUUCGAAAGCGUGGGUAGCAAACAGGAUUAGAUACCCUGGUAGUCCACGCCGUAAACGAUGUCUACUAGCCGUUGGGGUCCUUGAGACUUUAGUGGCGCAGUUAACGCGAUAAGUAGACCGCCUGGGGAGUACGGCCGCAAGGUUAAAACUCAAAUGAAUUGACGGGGGCCCGCACAAGCGGUGGAGCAUGUGGUUUAAUUCGAUGCAACGCGAAGAACCUUACCUGGUCUUGACAUAGUGAGAAUCUUUCAGAGAUGAGAGAGUGCCUUCGGGAAUUCACAUACAGGUGCUGCAUGGCUGUCGUCAGCUCGUGUCGUGAGAUGUUGGGUUAAGUCCCGCAACGAGCGCAACCCUUUUCCUUAUUUGCCAGCGGGUUAAGCCGGGAACUUUAAGGAUACUGCCAGUGACAAACUGGAGGAAGGCGGGGACGACGUCAAGUCAUCAUGGCCCUUACGACCAGGGCUACACACGUGCUACAAUGGUAGGUACAGAGGGUUGCUACACAGCGAUGUGAUGCUAAUCUCAAAAAGCCUAUCGUAGUCCGGAUUGGAGUCUGCAACUCGACUCCAUGAAGUCGGAAUCGCUAGUAAUCGCAGAUCAGAAUGCUGCGGUGAAUACGUUCCCGGGCCU